AACUGGACCGGGGUAGCUUUUGCUUUUUUGCCUUCAAAAAUUUUUCGAAAAAUUUUUCUAAGUAAGAGAUAGGUCAAACUGGACCGGGGUAGCUUUUUGUUUGUUUGCCUUAGAAAAAUUUUUCCAAGUAAGAUAGCUCAUGAUUGAACCGGGGUACUCGGGUUCUCAAAAUUGAACCGGGGUAGCUUUUGCUUUUUGCCUUGGAAAAUUUUUCCAAGUAAGAGAUAUGUCAUAACUGGACCGGGGUAGCUUUUUGUUUGUUUGCCUUGGAAAAUAAUUUUUCCAAGUAAAAGAUAUGUCAUAACUGGACCGGGGUAGCUUUUUGUUUGUUUGCCUUGGAAAAUAAUUUUUCCAAGUAAAAGAUAUGUCAUAACUGGACCGGGGUAGCUUUUUGUUUGUUUGCCUUGGAAAAUAAUUUUUCCAAGUAAAAGAUAUGUCAUAACUGGACCGGGGUAGCUUUUUGUUUGUUUGCCUUGGAAAAUAAUUUUUCCAAGUAAAAGAUAUGUCAUAACUGGACCGGGGUAGCUUUUUGUUUGUUUGCCUUGGAAAAUAAUUUUUCCAAGUAAAAGAUAUGUCAUAACUGGACCGGGGUAGCUUUUUGUUUGUUUGCCUUGGAAAAUAAUUUUUCCAAGUAAAAGAUAUGUCAUAACUGGACCGGGGUAGCUUUUUGUUUGUUUGCCUUGGAAAAUAAUUUUUCCAAGUAAAAGAUAUGUCAUAACUGGACCGGGGUAGCUUUUUGUUUGUUUGCCUUGGAAAAUAAUUUUUCCAAGUAAAAGAUAUGUCAUAACUGGACCGGGGUAGCUUUUUGUUUGUUUGCCUUAGAAAAAUUUUUCCAAGUAAGAUAGCUCAUGAUUAAACCGGGGUACUCGGGUUCUCAAAAUUGAACCGGGGUAGCUUUUGCUUUUUGCCUUGGAAAAUUUUUCUAAGUAGAGAUAGGUCAUAACCGGACCGGGGUAGCAUUUGCAUUAUGCCUUAGAAAAUUUUUCUAAGUAAGAUGAUUGAACCCGGGUAGCUUUUGCUUGUUUGCCUUAGAAAAAUUUUUCCAAGUAAGAGAUAGCUCAAAAUUGAACCUGGGUAGCUUUUGGUUUUUGCCUUGGAAAAUUUUUCCAAGUAGAGAUAGGUCAUAACUGGACCGGGGUAGCAUUUGCUUUAUGCCUUAGAAAAUUUUUCAUGAAUUUUUUUUUAAGUAAGAGAUAGGUCAUAACUAGACCGGGGUAGCUUUUGCUUGUUUGCCUUAGAAAAUUUUUUCCAAGUAAGAGAUAGCUCAUGAUUGAACCCGGGUAGCUUUUGCUUGUUUGCCUUAGAAAAUUUUUUCCAAGUAAGAGAUAGCUCAUGAUUGAACCCGGGUAGCUUUUGCUUGUUUGCCUUAGAAAAUUUUUUCCAAGUAAGAGAUAGCUCAUGAUUGAACCCGGGUAGCUUUUGCUUGUUUGCCUUAGAAAAUUUUUUCCAAGUAAGAGAUGGCUCAUGAUUGAACCCGGGUAGCUUUUGCUUGUUUGCCUUGAAAAAAAAAUUCCAAGUAAGAGAUAACUCAUGAUUGAACCCGGGUAGCUUUUGCUUGUUUGCCUUAGAAAAAAAAUUUCCAAGUAAGAGAUAGCUCAAAAUUGAACCGGGGUAGCUUUUGGUUUUUGACUUGGAAAAUUUUUCAAGAAUUUUUUUUCUGAGUAAGAGAUAGCUCAUGAUUGAACCCGGGUAGCUUUUGCUUGUUUGCCUUGGAAAAUUUUUUCCAAGUAAGAGAUAACUCAUGAUUGAACCCGGGUAGCUUUUGCUUGUUUGCCUUAGAAAAAUUUUUCCAAGUAAGAGAUAGCUCAAAAUUGAACCGGGGUAGCUUUUUGUUUGUUUGCCUUGGAAAAAAAAAUUCCAAGUAAGAGAUAGAUCAUGAUUGAAGCGGGACUUGCUCAUAAGCCUUUAUUCUUCUAGCUGGAUCCUUCUUUGAAUUUUCUGCUCUAGCUUUUCUCCUUCUUCCCUCCGGAUGUGUUCUGUUUUUUUUUUUUUUUUGGCCAGGAUCUUUCGCCUUGUGGCAUCACUUUUUCUCUACUUCUUUUUCCUUACUUUGUCACCAAUCCGGUCAAAAACGGAACCCCGGGAUUGGCGGGAAUUUUCAAAGUCUUCAAAAUCAGCAAUCAACCCGGGUCCUUUGAGGUUCUCGGCUCGUUGUUCCUGGUAUAACCGGAUUGCUUCG
rnacentral:lncRNA from 1 species